rnacentral:lncRNA from 10 species
AGCCUUCCGGCGCCUACGCCCCCGUCAGGUCCCCUCCGCGGGCUCCGGGCCGCUUUGCUGUGGUCAGGAUAGGCGACCGGGAUCCUGUCCCUGCCCCCAGGAGCUUCCUGUUGACUGUAGGUCGAACCAGCCUUGCCGGGAGGGGAACCGAAGCUGAGUUCUGUUUGGCGACUAUCCCAGUCAUGGUGGCUUUGGCUUAUGUUGGGACAGCGUUUUUCUAUAUGAUGCUGGCGGCAGCCCAGUGAGGGAAGUGCAACAAGUAUGGUUCUCCUGCUUGUCAACUGUGGAAACAGCGACCCUGAAAGUGGAGGAGCCACAGCUGGAAUCGUGUCCGUCUGAAUACACGCACCUUUCCUAUGAGCCUUGUAAAGCCAGUCGUUGAAGAAGGGGGAGGACCCGGAAGGAUGGGGUGGGGGCGUAAAGAUGAAGGUUAAUCAAGGUCCUCAUGGACUGAACCUUGAGGCCCUUCUGCUGCAGUCACUUUUGCCCUAUCAGACUUUUAGAGUAACUUCCUCUCUUUAUUUCCUCUUUGGUGGGGUUAUCAGAAUUAUUUUGUGACUAUUGGUUUCCUUUGCGGUUUUUAGUGAAAUUCAGAAUCAUCUUCGACGGAUAGGAAAUAGUGCAAUCAUAUGUGUCAGUAUUCCGGUAUUCUAGGAACUUAAGGAAAUGCAUAUAAGGGUUUGAACAUUUUUUUCUUCAGCUCACUAAAUGAACGAAAGGUAGGCGUAGGCGUUAAAGAGACACAUAAUGUGGAACGAUGCUGUAUUUUCUUAGCUACUAAAACUUCAUUUGUCAUUGACUGUCUCAGGGCUUUAAAAUUUUAUGUAGGUCUAUAUUCAGCUUUUAUUAAAAUAGAAAAUUCCUUGAGCUGUUGCCUUUCUUCACUAAAUAGAGAUAAUUUCGUCUUCCUAAACACUCAGUCUCAAAAAUCACCUCUAAAAUAGGCCGGGCACAGUGGCUCACACGUGUAACCCCAGCAUUCUGGGAGUCCAAGACAGGAGGAUCACUUGAGUCUAGGAGUUGGAGACCAGCCUGGGCAACAUGGGAGACCUCCUAUCUAUUUAGUAAAAUAUAUUUUAAAAAAUAAUAAUGAAAUGAAAUAGUAGUUUGCCCCAGUUUAAGGGGUAAGGUGGCUUUGAAGAUGUUCUAUAUGGAGUUUUAAAGUUGGGAGAGUAUGUCAGAAUGUCAC